ACCAAGUUCAAGCAUGAUUUUAAAGAGUAAUAGUGUUAAGUUAAUUAAUCCUAAUGAAGCUUAGAAACCUUCCUAUAUAAAGCAGUAAUGGGGAUCUGUAGUCUCAGAAAUAACCGAAAGGAAUUCUCCAUAAUUCUGGGUGGUUGAUGGGAUGACUGUUACCAUGUUCUUGUUGUACUUGUUUGGAUUUGUCCUAUUGCCUAAGACAUGGUAAGGUGGGUUUUAGGAUUUCUAAAGUUAUUUACCUGUCAGGAUCUAGAUGCCUAGACCACUUUGUACAUCUAUGACCCCUCUGUCUCACUGAGGGAAAGAAGAAUCUGAGACCAUAUUUUGUGACUUAUAAUACUUUUCUAAUUCUGUGAUGUACUUUUCAAAUACUUCUGGAUCAGUUGAGAGUGAGCAUGUGCAUUCUGAAUCCAGUAUUCUUAACCAGUUAAUGUAUGCAGCUACUCCCUCCCCUAAAAACCUCAGUUUCACAUAUUUAUAAAACUAAUCUUGUGGGUGUGAUUACCUGCACUACGGAACUUUUCCUUCUCAAAAGUGUCUUAGUCUUUUUUCAUUUGAAGAGUAUAAAGUUCUUUCUGUAUCUAAAAAUCCUGGUCAUUUUCUUUGGGGAAAUAAUUCUAUACUGCAAAUGGAUCCUUUCAGGAGCAGUAAAAUCUAAAAGGAUAAAUAUGUGCAUAAAUAAUAAUUUCAAGACAUAGAAUUAUAACUUCUUUAAUGAUCUACAGUAUAAAAAGAAUUCAGGGCAGGGAAAACUACUUUCAGCUGAGGAAAUGAGAUGUCCAGAGAAUGUAACAUUUUACCUUAAGGAAUAUGUAAAAUUGAGCUAUAUGGAGAUAGGGAUCAGGGGUAGACUCCAGUCCCUGGAAUACAGAUAGCACAAGCAGUGGAACAUAGAGGUGUGUAAAGUGAUGGUGAUACGAUAUUUGAUAUGAAAUGUAUGAAAAAUACUAACCUUACGUAUUAGUCAAAGGAGUUGAAAAUAGUUGGUAGCUGGGAAAUAGUUUGAGUUGGGGAAAAAAAUAAAACCUGUUGUUCAGGAAGGUUCAUCUGGCUGUAGCAUAUAAGAAUAUUGAAAGGAGCUAGAGAACAGAGAAACCAAUUAGAUUUUUUUGUAAUCUAGCUGAAUGUGUUAAGGGUCUGAGUGAGGGUAAUGGAAGUCAGACUAGUGGGACAUCUGUUACUCAAGAAGAACUGGUAAUAAUUGUCAGUAAAUUGAAUGGCAGUAGCUGGGGGAGGAUGGGUAUUCAUUUACCAACAAGAUGUUUAGGUAUAGAUGUUUAGCAUGCAAAUGAACAGAUGAGGUUAGAGUGUUAGAGAGAAACAGAAUUGGAAAUAAAUUCAUAUAGGGGGUAAAUAUAAACUCUGAAAUUGGUCAUCGCUGAGCAAGGUUGGUAGAGAAGACAGAAAGGUUGGAUCAGGUUUAUUUUAAAAUGGAAAAGUAUUAAUGAGUGGAAAGGAAGACUCUAGAGAGAUAAAGGGUUAAGAUGCAAGAGAAGACUAUUUCAUGAAUCAAAGAAACUGGAUAGAUGAACAAGUAGAAAAGUAACUUGAAGGAAGACAGAAUAGCUGUGGAAACAUUGAGUAUAAAAGAAAAAAACCUCCACAAUUUGGGGUUAAUGAAUGUUAAUUAAUGAAUUAGAUAAUUUUAGAAGUAGGUUUUCUCUCCAAAACAAAUGAUUACUUUCAGGUAUACAUUAGUACCUUGAGAGUGUUUACAAAAGUUGUCCUGUUAGUGUACUUGAGAAAAAUGUCUUAAUGAUUACAUAAUAGUGAUAAUGAUACCUGUAUAUGUAAAGACUUUAUUUUGUAAUUCUCAGGGUUUCCUGAGAAGUUAUCUCCUUUCCUCUUGUGUGCAUCUUUGAUUCUGUUCUCUGCCUGCUCCCAACUGAAUUAGUCACCAAGUGGUACCUUCUAAUUUGAAGGUAGCUAAACAUGACUUUUUAUAUCUAAUUUAUUAUUUUCAAAAUCCCACCUUCUCACAGCUGUAGGUUGGUACAGAUCCUUAUCAUUUCUUUCACGCAUUAUUGUAUUAGUCUCCUUUUGGUUUUGUCAGUAUACCUGGAAUUGAUCAGGUGGGCUAACUCAAGCCAGUAUGGCAGAAAUGAAUGUCAUUUAAUCAUUGAUGAUCAAAACAUUACUGUCAAGAAUUGCCCAGAAUUGCUUAUCUUACUUUUCCUUAAAGUAAUCUUGGGAAAACGAGUUAUAAUUGUAAAGUUACUUCAUUAGUGAACCUGACAUCAGAACAAGGACAAUUAGUUAGGUCAUGUUUAAAGAUUAUCGCCAUGUUGGGGCACCUGGGUGGCUUAGGCAGCUCAGCUUCCAACUCUUGAUUUCUUCUCAGGUCGUGAUCCUCAGGGUCAUGAGAUCUAGGUCAUGAUAUCAAGCCUGGUGUAGGACUCCACGCCCAGUUUAAGAUUCUCUCUCUCUCUCACUGCCCCUCCCCUGCUCUUGUGUGCAGGCACUCACCCUGUCUCUCAAAAAAAAAAAAAAAAAAAAAAAAGAUUAUCACCAUCUUGAUAAUGUUCUUUUUCUUUCUGUAUAAUGCAGUUGAUUGCUUUCUUAGCAGCUUCCUUCCACAUUAAUUUAUAGUCCUGUGUUUGCAGGAACUAUGUCCCAGUUACCUUGAUGACUAAACUUGGAGUUAGAAACCAUGUCUUAUGGUGAGCCCUUUCUAUAGAUGGCCUGUAUUACUUGUUUCACACUCAGAGGGUCAUUUUAUUUAAGGAUCUGUGGGUGUAUGUAUGUGCCUAUUGACAGGUGGUAUUUUUGUAUAAUAAUCAUUAGGUAUUUGGAAUUAUACUUCUCAGACUGUUUGGCAUUAUGCUUGUAAUGUUAGGAGAAACUAAUAUAUUCAUUCAAAAGAUGUAUAAAAAAUUAUAUUCAAAGUUGUUGUUGGAUGUGUCAAGAUUUAGGAGACCAAAAUUAAAAAAAAAUUUUUUUUUAAUGUUUAUUUAUUUUUGAGAGAGAGAUAGAGAUAUAUAUAUAUAGAGAGAGAGAGGCAGGAAGGGGCACAGAGAGAGGGAGACACAGAACCUGAAGCAGGCUCCAGGCUCCGAGCUGUCAGCACAGAGCCUGACGCGGGGCUCGAACCCACGAACUGUGAGAUCAUGACCAGAGCAGAAGUCGGACACUUAAUCGACUGAGCCGCCCAGGCGCCCCAGAGACCAAAAAUUUUUAAUCCAUGUUGGCAGUAAUAGGAAAUCUGAUUUUCUACAGACCAGGUCCUAAAGAAAUUAUAGAAAGAAAAUAAAUCAGUGUAAAGAAGAUAGGAAAGACAUGAGGGAAGAUAAUAAUUUGAAACAAAGUAGAUCUUUAAAAGCAAGUAGAGGGGCACCUGAAUGGCUCUGUCCGUUAAGCAUCUGACUCUUGAUUUCAGCUCAGGUCAUGAUCUCACGGUUCGAGAGAUCAAGCCCCACAUUGGCUCCAGCACAGAGCAUGCUUGGGAUUCUCUCUCUCCCCCUCUGUGCCCCUCCCCCAUUUGCUCUCUCUCUAAAAAAUAAAAAAUAAUGAUACAAAAAACAAGUAGAAAUUUUAGGUAUGGAAAACUGUAACAGUCAAAGUAAAGAACACAAUAGAUAGGACAAAUAACAGUGGAUACAGUGAACAACAAAAUAAUUAAUGGGUUUUAUACAUAUUUAAAAUAAAAACUAUAUAGUAUGGAGGAUAGAAGUAGAAUCCAGGUAACAGGAGCUCCAGAAAGGGAGAGAGAGAAAAAUGGAGAGGAGGAAAUAACCUGAAGAAAUAAUGGAAAUAAAUUUCAUUUAAAAAAAAAAAAAAAAAAAAAAAAGAUGAGAUAUCUUAGUUUGAAGUGGCACAUAGUGGGCCUAAGAAAAAAGAGUGAAGGAAAAAUUCUCAUCUAGACACAUUAUAGGGGAAAUUUUAAAAUAUCACAGACAAGGAAAGGAUUCUAAAACAUGGACUAUUAAGAUGAAGUCUUUCUUGGAGACUACAUAAAAAUAACUUCAGUUCUAAGGAGGUGGUGCAAGAUAUGAAAUGUCUAGAUUUAACAGAGCUAAUUGUCAUAGCAAAAAAAAUUGAAAAUACUGGGAGUAUAAAGAUUACAGUUACAUUUCUUGUAGCACCUCCUGGAUUCAAUUAUUAAAUGGUAUUUAGGUAGCUUACCUAACAACUUGGAAAUAUAUCCGUGAUAGGUCUUCCCUGACCCCAACAAAUUGUAUGUAUACUGUGUAUAAUAAUGUAUACAUGGCACAAAGGAUUAUCAGUUUCUUAUUGUUUUCAUGGUGCUCAAAUUCUAUUGGAAGAGUCAGAAAUAUAAGUGAAUAAUUGCAGAAUAAAAAGUUAGGCAAAAUUAUCAUGGCGAUUAUGUUAAAAGAAUAGAUUUGAGAGUAGUUUUUUUCUUGUCUUCAUUUUUAAAAAUUGAUUAUGGUCAUUACUUAUAUGUUUUUAUUUAAAUCAUAGAUAACCUUUAAUGAAGAAUGGGAAAUGGGUUUUAAUAGCUGCCACAUCUAAUAAGAUUAUGUUCUUCAUUUUAAUUAGCAAUUUAUUUUUUCCUACUAAGCCUCCCUUUCAAUUUUCUUAAGCUAAAGAAACAGUAAAAAAAAAAAAAAAAAAAAAUCACUGUGUAACGUACUCAAUGAUGUUUGUUAUCUGGGCUUAUGAUUGAUAAUAACUUCAGUAAGUCUUUUUUCGUCUUAGUUGAAAUAUGUCCUUCAUUAACCUGACCACCUAUAUUUUUAUCCUUAUCUGAGCUAAGUGUUUCUAGAGAAUACAAUUUACGUCAUGUACACAUGCAUAUCAUUAUAGAUUUGUGAUACUAGCCUUCACUGACAUUUAAAUUGCUUGGCAGUGUUAAUACGAAUCUCUAGGAAACUCUCUUUUUGCCAUGAUUGUUUGUAUUUUAAAACUUUUACUGCCAGUUAAAAUUGCAUCUUUUAGUCCCCCAAUUCUGCAAACCUACUUGGUUUGUAUCCAUCCUCUUUUCUUUCUCUCCAGUCCUGCUUGCAGUGCAAGGCUAGUCUGUACUUGUGCUCCACAUCUCACCCUUCUGUGCCCUCUCAGAGGCCUUGUCAUGUUAGUCUCCUUACCCUCUCACCCUCACUUUUCUUUCCCAUCUACAUCUAAGCAUUCUCUCCUGUCCAUCCUCUUGAACAAAAGAACCCAAACUCCUUUAAUCACACAUUGCUGUUCAUGUGCCUACCCCUUAAACUGUUCUACCUCCACUCACUCGUUUAAGAUUUUCUCUUUGUUCUGGGUGGUAUGUCUAGAUGUGAUUUUAUUCUUCUUAGGACCUCUUUGCUUCCUAAUUGAGAGAAUUCUUUUUUUUUUUUUUUUAAAUGUUUAUUUUUGAGAGAGUGAGAAUGGGGGAGGGGCAGAGAGCGAGGGAGACACAGAAUCCAAAGCAGGCUCCAGGCUCUGAGCUGUCAGCACAGAGCCUGACACAGAGCUCAAACCCAUGAACUGUGGGUUCAGAUCAUGACCUGAGCCAAAGUCAGACACUUAACCCACUGAACCCACCCAGGUGCCCCAAGAGAAUUCAUGUCUUUUGUCAGUUCUGGACACAACUCUAGCCAUUACAUUUUAAAGUAUUUUUAUAUUUUUAUUUUUAUUUUUAUUAUUUUUAUUUUUAUUGUAGAGAGAGCACAUGCAAGCAGGGGGAGAGGAGCAGAGAGAGAGAGAGAGACAGAGAGAGACAGAGAGAGAGAGAGAGAGACACUCUUAAGCAGGCUCCAAUGCUUAGUGUGGAGCCCAAUGUGGGGUUUCAUCCCAUGAACCUGGGGUCAUGACCUGAACCCAACUCAGGAGUCGGAAGUUCAACCAACUGAACCACCUAGGUGCUCCUAUGGCCAUUUAAAAUAGUGAUCCUCCCUAUUCUUUCUGUUCUUCAGUAACUUUUGUUAGACAUAUUUGGACUUUGAUUCUGUCUUCCAUGUCCCUUAACCUUUCUUUUAUAAUUUCCAUUUAUCAAUCUCUCUGUGCUCUAGCAGGAUAGUAGUUUUUAGGUUUUAUUAAUUUAUUUCGAGGGAGAGAGAGAGACAGCGAGUGAGCAGGGGAGGGGCUGAGAGAGUCCAAGAGAGAAUCCCAAGCAGGCUCUGCACUAAUAGUGCAGACUUGGGGCUGACUUGGGGCUCGAUUUCAGGAACCGUGAGAUCAUGACCUGAGCUGAAAUCAAGAGUCUGACGCUUAACCAACCAUCCACUCAGGUGCCCCUGGGUAAUUUCUUUUGAUCUUUUAUAUUCACUCAUUAUCUCUUCAGCUAUACUGAUUUAUAAUUUUACCUGCCUAAUGGGUAAAGAUUUUUAGUGAAUAUGCUUUCCAAUUUUUAGAAUUCUUUAAAAAAAAAAAUUUUUUUUUUUUUUAACAUUUAUUCAUUUUUGAGAGGCAGAAAGAGACAGAGCAUGAGUGGGGAAGGGGCAGAGAGAGGGAGACACAGAAUCAGAAGCAGGCUCCAGGCUCUGAGCUGUCAGCACAGAGCCCAACGCAGGGCUCUAACUCACGAACCGUGAGAUCAUGACCUGAGCUGAGGUCGGACGCUCAGCUGACUGAACCAUCCAGGUGCCCCUCAAUUUUUAGAAUUCUUUUUGGUCCUUUCUAAAAUGGAUCUGGUCUGAUUUUGCUUUUCUCUUUCUUGUUUUUAAGAACAUGUAGCACUUUUCUCACAUGUAAAAUAUUUUUAUUUUCAAACAGUCUCAAACUUACAGAAAAGUUACAUAGAGUAUAAUAUACAGAACUGUAUCUUCCUAGAGUAUUUGAGAAUAAGUUGCAGAUACAGUGCCACAUUAGCCCUGAAUACUUCAGUCUUUAUUUUUAAAAUUUUAUUGUUAUUUUUGUAAUGUUUAAUUUUGAGAGAGAGAGAGCAUGAGCAGGGGAGGAACAGAGAUAGAGGGAGACAUAGAAUCUGAAGCAGGCUUCAGCACAGAGCCUGAUGCAGGGCUAGAACUUGUGAACCGGGAGAUUAUGACCUGAGCUGAAGUCAGACACUUAACCGACUGAGCCACCGAGGUGCCCUGAAUACUUUAGUUUUUAUAGACAAGGACAUUUUACUGUAAAAUCACAAUACAGUGAUCAAGAACAGGAAAUUAAUAUCACUAUAUUACUACCAUCUACUCGUCAGAUGGCCAUUCAAGUUUUGACUGUUGUCUCAGAAUUUUACAGGUUAGUUAUUUUUGGGUUUGGUUCAUUUUUUUUUCAUUAUUAGAGCUGUGUUAUUUAUUUAUUUAUUUUGGAGCGGGAUAUCAUAGAUGUGAUCUUUCCAUUGCAUCUAUCAGAUGACACAUACUCAGGCAUUUCCAAUGAAAAGGUUUUCUUUUCCUCUUUGUAAUUAUGUAUAUUGUGGAAUUAAGUAUGAGACUAUAAAUAUCCCAUUUCUCAUCAUACUUUUAAUUUGUAUCAGUGUGGACUUACAGAUUUGUGUGGGGGUAUGAUGUAUUUAUUGUGAUGCUCAAAUUGUUCACACUUUAGCUAGUGGGAGCCCCUUUAAGCUGGCACAGUUGUCCCCAUUCAUUAUUCUUUGAACACUUAUUUUCUGGCAUUGCAAGUAUAUUAGUCUUCUGUUGCUGCCAUAACAAAUUACCACAAAAUUAGCAACUUACAGGCACUCAGAUUUAUUAGCACAUAGUCAGAUGUCUGGGUUUGGUUAUCUGGUUGCUCUGUUAGAGUCGCACAAGGCUAAAACCAAGGUGUUGGCCAGCUGGGCUCUUACUAUCAGGAGACUCUGGAAUUCAUUCACUUCCAAGAAGCUCAUUUAGGUUGUUGGCAGAAUUCAGAUUUUUCCUUGCAGUUGCAGGACUGAGGUCAUCAUUUCCUUUCUGACUGACAGCUGAGGGUCUCCCUUAGCUCCUCGAGGCUUCUAUCCCAUCCUUUCACAUGUCCCUACAUUUUAGAGUCGGCAAAGGUGAGUUGAAUCCUUUGCACACUUAGAAUCGCUCUGACUUCCUCUUCUGUUGUAUCUCUCUUGUUUUCUCAGCUAUUACAUCUCUCACUGACUCUUUUGGCCUUUGUCUUCUAUUUUUAAGGGUUCAUGUGAUUACUCUGGGCCUACCUACAUAAUCCAAGAUAAUCCACCUGUUUUAAGGUCGGCUAAUCAGUACCUUAAUUUAAUCUGCCAAGUCUCUUCACAGUAGUGCCUUGAUUAAGGGAACCUUGGGAUGGAAGGUGGACAUCAUUAGAAUUCUGCCUAGCACAGCAGGAUAUGUCAGGUGCCUUUUUUUAUAGAGAGAGGGUUGUUUCUUUCUUACACUUGUGAGUCCUUGGCUUAGUCAUUUAGUUUCUUAGUCAUUUGAAAUAUUUGUCUUAUCUUUAUUUGCUCUAUUUUCUUUCUAAGGUUCUUGGAAUAACAGUCAAAUAAUGUUUGUGUCUGCUAGUUUGUGAUCAAGGGGAUUGUUUUCAUCUGUGUUUUCUAAUUGUGGAUUGUGAACUCAUUUUAUAGCCUGAAUUGAGGUUAUAUCCCUUCAGAGAGGUUUUGUGUUUGCUUCCGCUGUGUACUCAAGUGACAGUACCAGCUGGCCCCGUCUUACGUUAAUUUAAUGUUUGGGAUCUAUCAGACUAGGCACAUAUGUAAAUUCAAACCCAAAACCUGGGGCGCCUGGAUGGCUCACUCAGGAGUGUUUGACUCCUGAUUUCGGCUCAGGUCAUAAUCCCAGUGUCAUGGGCUCAAGCCUUGCCUCGGGCUCUGCACUGAGCAUGGAGCCUGCUUAAGAUUCUUUCUCUCCCUCUACCCCUCUCCCUAGCUCACUCGCUCUCGUUCUCUCUCUAAAAUUAACUCAAAAA